rnacentral:rRNA from 1 species
UGGGGAAUAUUGCACAAUGGGGGAAACCCUGAUGCAGCGACGCCGCGUGAAGGAAGAAGUAUUUCGGUAUGUAAACUUCUAUCAGCAGGGAAGAAAAUGACGGUACCUGACUAAGAAGCCCCGGCUAACUACGUGCCAGCAGCCGCGGUAAUACGUAGGGGGCAAGCGUUAUCCGGAUUUACUGGGUGUAAAGGGAGCGUAGACGGCAUGGCAAGUCUGAUGUGAAAACUUGGGGCUCAACCCCAAGACUGCAUUGGAAACUGUUAAGCUAGAGUGCAGGAGAGGUAAGCGGAAUUCCUAGUG